rnacentral:lncRNA from 1 species
AAUAAGCAAAAAAGGUAUUGUUUUCGCUUUGCCACGACUGUUAGGAAUGGGGAAAAACCGGGCACUACAAGGCUGAGAUUUGUUGCCGUCUUUCGCACACAAAUUGCAUAAGAUUAAACCCAAUAAGAAUAUUGUCGCCAAAACCAUGUGUUGGCCUUUGCAGAUAUCAACGUGGAAGGGACACACAGGAAUUGACUUAUGGGUGUCUGAUAUUUCUUUAUUGGAACAAGCUUAGCAUUUCACUUGUGGGUAUCUGUGUUUUCUCUAAGGAAAAAAUUGCAUCUUAUCGUUCGUGAAACUCACAUGAA